rnacentral:rRNA from 1 species
AUACGGAGGGUGCAAGCGUUAUCCGGAAUCAUUGGGUUUAAAGGGUCCGUAGGCGGACUAUUAAGUCAGAGGUGAAAUCCCACAGCUCAACUGUGGAACUGCCUUUGAUACUGGUAGUCUUGAGUUAUAUGGAAGUAGAUAGAAUGUGUAGUGUAGCGGUGAAAUGCAUAGAUAUUACACAGAAUACCGAUUGCGAAGGCAGUCUACUACGUAUAUUCUGACGCUAAGGGACGAAAGCGUGGGGAGCGAACAGGAUUAGAAACCCCUGUAGUCC